GGUCAAGUGACGAAGCGUGCACGGUGGAUGCCUUGGCAGCCAGAGGCGAUGAAGGACGUUGUAGCCUGCGAUAAGCUCCGGUUAGGUGGCAAACAACCGUUUGACCCGGAGAUUUCCGAAUGGGGCAACCCACCCGUUGUAAGGCGGGUAUCCGUUACUGAAUCCAUAGGUAACGGAGGCGAACGCGGGGAACUGAAACAUCUAAGUACCCGUAGGAACAGAAAUCAAUUGAGAUUCCGUCAGUAGCGGCGAGCGAACGCGGAUUAGCCCUUAAGCAUGCGACUGGUUAGGAGAACGGUCUGGGAAGGCCGACCAUAGUGGGUGAUAGUCCCGUAUCCGAAAACCUGAGUAUGUGAAAACGAGUAGGUCGGGGCACGUGUAACCUUGACUGAACAUGGGGGGACCAUCCUCCAAGGCUAAAUACUCCUGGCUGACCGAUAGUGAACCAGUACCGUGAGGGAAAGGCGAAAAGAACCCCGGAGAGGGGAGUGAAAUAGACCCUGAAACCGUGUACGUACAAGCAGUCGGAGCCCGCAUGUCGGGUGACGGCGUACCUUUUGUAUAAUGGGUCAGCGACUUAUUCUCAGUAGCGAGGUUAACCGUAUAGGGGAGCCGUAGGGAAACCGAGUCUGAAUAGGGCGACGAGUUGCUGGGAAUAGACCCGAAACCGGACGAUCUACCCAUGGGCAGGUUGAAGGUGCGGUAACACGCACUGGAGGACCGAACCGGGAUCUGUUGAAAAAGAUUCGGAUGACCUGUGGGUCGGAGUGAAAGGCUAAUCAAGUCCGGAGAUAGCUGGUUCUCCCCGAAAGCUAUUUAGGUAGCGCCUCGUAUAUCACCACCGGGGGUAGAGCACUGUUUCGGCUAGGGGCCCAUCCCGGGUUACCAAACCGAUGCAAACUCCGAAUACCGGUGAGUGCAGUACGGGAGACACACGGCGGGUGCUAACGUCCGUCGUGGAGAGGGAAACAACCCAGACCGCCAGCUAAGGUCCCCAAAUUCCAGUUAAGUGGGAAACGAUGUGGGAAGGCUUAGACAGCUAGGAGGUUGGCUUAGAAGCAGCCAUCCUUUAAAGAAAGCGUAAUAGCUCACUAGUCGAGUCGGCCUGCGCGGAAGAUGUAACGGGGCUCAAACUGGAUACCGAAGCUGCGGCAGUGCCUUUGGCACUGGGUAGGGGAGCGUUGUGUAAGCCUGUGAAGGUGUGUUGAGAAGCAUGCUGGAGGUAUCACAAGUGCGAAUGCUGACGUGAGUAACGA
rnacentral:rRNA from 1 species